AUUGAACGCUGGCGGCAGGCCUAACACAUGCAAGUCGAACGAGUGGCGGACGGGUGAGCAAUGACUGUGCAAGUGCCUGAUGGAUGGGGAUAACUACUGGAAACGGUUGCUAAUUCCGCACACCAUCAGAUGUGUCCAGAUGGCAUUAGAGUGUGGGUGGGGUAACGGCUGACCAAGGUGACGAUCCCUAGCUGGUCUGAGAGGAUGACCAGCCACACUGGAACUGAGACACGGUCCAGACUCCUACGGGAGGCAGCAGUGGGGAAUAUUGCACAAUGGGCGAAAGCCUGAUACAGCCAUGCCGCGUGUAUGAAGAAGGCCUUCGGAUUGUAAAGUACUUUCAGCGGGGAGGCGUUACCCACAGAAGAAGCACCGGCUAACUCCGUGCCAGCAGCCGCGGUAAUUC
rnacentral:rRNA from 1 species